rnacentral:rRNA from 1 species
UUGGAGGGCAAGUCUGGUGCCAGCAGCCGCGGUAAUUCCAGCUCCAAUAGCGUAUAUUAAAGUUGUUGCAGUUAAAAAGCUCGUAGUUGAAUUUCGAGACCGGUUUAUUGGUCGUGCUUUUGUACGUACUGGUAUUAUUGGUUUCUCCUUUCUGACGAAUCUUAAUGCCAUUAAUUUGGUGUUUUGGGGAAUCAGGACUGUUACUUUGAAAAAAUUAGAGUGUUUAAAGCAGGCUCACGCUUGAAUACAUUAGCACGGAAUAACGGAAUAGGACGUUUGAUUCUAUUUUGUUGGUUUCUAGGAUCGACGUAAUGAUUAAUAGGGAUAGUUGGGGGCAUUAGUAUUCAAUUGUCAGAGGUGAAAUUCUUGGAUUUAUUGAAGACUAACUACUGCGAAAGCAUUUGCCAAGGAUGUUUUCAUUAAUCAAGAACGAAAGUUAGGGGAUCGAAGACGAUCAGAUACCGUCGUAGUCUUAACCAUAAACUAUGCCGACUAGGGAUCGGAUGAUGUUAAUUUUUUAAUGACUCAUUCGGCACCUUACGGGAAACCAAAGUGUUUGGGUUC